rnacentral:lncRNA from 1 species
CGCCUGUUUUUUUAUUUUUUUAUUUAACCUCAAUUUUUCUACGCCGUGGACCCUGUCACUGUCAGAUCCAUCAGGGCAGCCCAAUGGCUCUCCAUAUAAGCUCAGCCAUUCCCUAACCUUUUCUUUUCACUCACCCACUCAAUUCAUUCAUAAUCAUAUAUUCUUUCCCCCUUUCUCUCUCUAUCUUUCUCUAUCUAGACUAACAGGCAGGAAGUCCAAGUGUGUGUGUUUUUUUAUGGGGAAAAGAGAAAAGAGUUCAAAGCUUAAAGCUAGACAUAAAUUCUUACCAGGUAUGAAACUUAACAUGGCAUGCUAAAUUUUCUUAUUAUCCUUUUGUGUAUGUAUUCAAUUUGAUACAAAAUUUUGCACAAUUGAGCUAAAUUCAAAAUUUGUAAUUCCUCAACUUUUUCUGUUCUAUAAUCUUUGUUUCAGGACCCUUUCAAGCCAAUUUACAUGGUUCUACCGUAAGUAACGCUCAGAAAAAUGGCAAUUCUAGCCGAAAAGAGAUGAUGAUGAUCAUUGAUACUGAUGCUGAUGAUUGUGAUACUGAUGGCUUUGAUCAAUUUGAGUCCAUGAAUGUAGUGGUGACUUGUUCAUCUUAAUUUGGUGUUAUCCUACCUGAGCUUUUCUUCCACAACUUUUCUCAAUCUUUUUUUUUUUUGACUUGUUGCCUUUUGUUUUUAUUUACGGGUCACUCUUCUUGACCUUGUAAGACCUUUUCUUGACCUUGUAAGACCCCAUCUUUAUUUUUUUAUUUUUGUGUAUUUGUUCAGUGUUUUUCUUCGUUUCUGUUAAACUCACGUUCUCCUUCCUUGCCUAUCCCUCCUGAGCUAUUGGUUCCAAUCAGAAUAUUUUCGUAGCAUUAGCAUUAACAUUAGCAUGUCUUUCUCCUUCCCCUCUUAGACUCAUGAUUUCUCAAAUUCAAGCUCGAUGAAAAUUAAGUGAGGGAGAAGUUCAAUUUUUUUAGGUUUACUUUUAUUUAAUUUUUUUAUGGUAGAGGAAAUGUAAUGAGUAGUGCAUUUAUUAAUGAUUUAAUUAUAUUGACUUUGUUAAUUAUUUUUAUUAAAUGAAUAAAUAAAUAAAUUUAUGUCAUGAUCUGUGACUGUAACAGUAGUAAUUAUUACUACACAGGUGGUGGGUACAGAGUUUGAACAGUACAUAUUCUCUUAUUUCUGUUAGGCUCCAUUGAUGAAAAUGAAUUGGUGUUAUAUGGACAGUAGUUUCAUGAGUUUGAGUUUCGUUGUUUUAUAUGUUGUUGGCUGAGAAACAAGUAAGAGAAUAAAUAUUCUUGCAGAUCUGUGAAAAGGGUUUCCUCGUGACUGCUCUCAUGUACUAUUACUUCUAUAUAUAUAUAUAUAUAUAUAUAUAUAUAUAUAUAUAUAUACAUGUGAGUAGCUAGUCUCAG